GAUGAACGCUGGCGGCGUGCCUAAUACAUGCAAGUCGAGCGAAUGGAUUAAGAGCUUGCUCUUAUGAAGUUAGCGGCGGACGGGUGAGUAACACGUGGGUAACCUGCCCAUAAGACUGGGAUAACUCCGGGAAACCGGGGCUAAUACCGGAUAACAUUUUGAACCGCAUGGUUCGAAAUUGAAAGGCGGCUUCGGCUGUCACUUAUGGAUGGACCCGCGUCGCAUUAGCGAGUUGGUGAGGUAACGGCUCACCAAGGCAACGAUGCGUAGCCGACCUGAGAGGGGGAUCGGCCACACUGGGACUGAGACACGGCCCAGACUCCUACGGGAGGCAGCAGUAGGGAAUCUUCCGCGAUGGACGAAAGUCUGACGGAGCAACGCCGCGUGAGUGAUGAAGGCUUUCGGGUCGUAAAACUCUGUUGUUAGGGAAGAACAAGUGCUAGUUGAAUAAGCUGGCACCUUGACGGUACCUAACCAGAAAGCCACGGCUAACUACGUGCCAGCAGCCGCCGUAA
rnacentral:rRNA from 1 species